UACGUAGGGUGCAAGCGUUGUCCGGAAUUAUUGGGCGUAAAGAGCUCGUAGGCGGUCUGUCGCGUCUGCUGUGAAAACUCAGGGCUUAACCCUGAGCUUGCAGUGGGUACGGGCAGACUAGAGUGCGGUAGGGGAGACUGGAAUUCCUGGUGUAGCGGUGAAAUGCGCAGAUAUCAGGAGGAACACCGGUGGCGAAGGCGGGUCUCUGGGCCGUAACUGACGCUGGAGGAGCGGAAAGCAUGGGGAGCGAACAG
rnacentral:rRNA from 1 species